GCAUCGGUAGAGCAACCCUGUGAUCAACCUAGCGACCCUAACAUCUUGAGAGGAGGAGGAGGCCUAGGAGAGGCAUCCUGCACCGGCGGAGCAACCUAAGGACAACGCAGCCUCAAGACCAUCAACUCCGCCGUUGCGCAUCAGUGCCGGUGAGUGACAAACUUUUAUUUAAUUUUAAGGUAAUGGAUUUGUAUAGAUAGUAGAUGUAGAUUCUAGCUUGUAGAUUGUAGAUGGAUCCAUUAUCUUAAAAUGGAUGGACUAGAAUAAGUGAGAUCACACAUAUAACUUUUGACAUAUUCUUUUAAUAUAACCAAUUUGCAUUAAAGCUAUUACAAAUACAAGUUAAAACAUAAAUAAAGAAAUAUAGAAAAAGGUUUCAAUUCUUUAUCAAUUCAUUCUUUAUCAUUCUAUAAUCAAUUAUCUAUCCAUUAUUUAUUUUAUUUAAUAAAGAACGUGCCAUUAAUUUUAUUAAUAUUAUAUAUAAUAAUUUAUUUUUGUAACGCACGCUAAUUUUAUUGUAAUAUUUUAUAGUCUAUCCAUCUAUGUAGUAUAGCAUAUUAUAAAACUUUGUUUUGACUGAUACAAUUUUAAAUUAUCGAUUGAUCAAAUCAUG